AUUGAACGCUGGCGGAAUGCUUUACACAUGCAAGUCGAACGGUAGAGGGGGCAACCCCUCGAGAGUGGCGAACGGGUGAGUAAUAUAUCGGAACGUGCCCAGUCGUGGGGGAUAACGUAGCGAAAGUUACGCUAAUACCGCAUACGAUCUAAGGAUGAAAGCAGGGGAUCGCAAGACCUCGCGCGAUUGGAGCGGACGAUAUCAGAUUAGGUAGUUGGUGGGGUAAAGGCUCACCAAGCAAACGAUCUGUAGCUGGUCUGAGAGGACGACCAGCCACACUGGAACUGAGACACGGUCCAGACUCCUACGGGAGGCAGCAGUGGGGAAUUUUGGACAAUGGACGCAAGUCUGAUCCAGCCAUUCCGCGUGCAGGAUGAAGGCCCUCGGGUUGUAAACUGCUUUUGUACGGAACAAAAAGGUCUCUCUUAAUACGGGGGGCUCAUGACGGUACCGUAAGAAUAAGCACAGGCUAACUACGUGCCAGCCGCCGCAGUAA
rnacentral:rRNA from 1 species